GACAGAGUGAGGGAGGGGGUGACUAGUGACAGAGUUAGGGAGGGUAGGGGGUGACUAGUGACAGAGGGAGGGGUGACUAGGGACAGAGUGAGGGAGGUGGUGACUAGUGACAGUCAACACCUCCCUCACUCUGUCACUGGUCACCCACUCCCUCCCUCCAUCUGUCACUGGUCGCCCACUCCCUCCCUCACUCUGUCACCAGUCAUCCCCUCACUCUGUCACUAGUAACCCCUUCCUUCCCUCACUCUGCCACUAGUCACCCCUUUCCUCACUCUGUCACCUGUCACCCCCUCACUCUGUCACUAGUCACCCCCUCACUCUAGU